UGUUAAAAAUUUUAUUUAUUCGUAUUGUUAAAAACUAGUGCAAUUGAUAGAAUAAUUAAGUAGUACCACAUAUACGUCAACAUAACAUACAUAGACUAAUUUUUAACAGUAAAAAUGAAUGAAAUUUUGAACA
rfam:Gossypium hirsutum cultivar TM-1 chromosome 10, whole genome shotgun sequence